ensembl:lncRNA LINC01638 long intergenic non-protein coding RNA 1638
AGCGCAAAGGCACUGCACUCACGCACGCCAUGCACAUGCUGGCUCACCUCCUCCAUCCCAUGCCUCCCCUGUCUCCAGGUCUCUGUCUCUUACUUUAUUUUUCUCUCCACCUCCUUGUGUCUGCCUGCCUAAAGAUUUCUGAUGCUUAAUCCUCCUCUGUCUCCCUUGCUGUCUUUCUCUGUCAUUGUAUCUCUUGGCAUCUCAGUUCCACGUCUUCUGUUUCUCUCUCUUUCUCCACCUAUUUUCCCUUCAGAAGCAUUUUCACCCCAAUGUCUCUGUAUGUUCCUUGCAGCAUUCCCUCUGGAAUACAUCAGCACUGUUGCCUUUGAGGCUGGCCUGCUUGAAUGCACACCUGAGCUCCGGAUUCACAGCAAUUUCUUGGAUGAUUCACAGUGGAGGAAGCCAGAUGCCAUGUCAUGAGGGUGCUCAAGCAACUUUUUGGAGAUGUAUGUAUGGAGAGAAACUGAGGCCUCCUGCCAACAGCCAGCACUAACUUGGCAAGCAUGUUUGAGAGCCACCUGGGAAGUGGAGCCUUCAGCCCCAGUUAAGCCUUCAGAUGAGACUGCAGUCCUGGCCACCAUCUGGACUGCAACUUCACAAGAGCUCCUAAGCCAGAGCCAUGCAGAUGGAUUCUUGGCCCCCAGAAAUUGUGCCACUACAUUUUGGGAAAUUUAUUAUGCAGCCAUAGAUUACCAAUACACUCACUAUUUCUUUUUUCUGAUGCCAUACUA